GUUGAGCAUCUGCGAUGCGAACAGUCUAAAAGUAACAGCGAAGCGAUUAAGUACGGCGGAAGCAAGAACAAAGAUUAAAUACAUAUUUAUAUUGUUGUUGUCAUUUUAUAAAGAAGCUUAUAGCAGACGGCACCAAAGCGACAAGGCAAGAAAUCCUCUACUUUUAAAAAUCCUUUGAUAUAUUAAUGCACAUUUAAAUUACAGUCAAGUGCAAAAAUAUGCAUAAUUUAUUCUAA